CCCCACUUUCUUAAUUUUUCCACCCUCCGUUGAACGCGGCGUAUAAUAAAACCGCAACCUGACGCCGGCGCUAUAAAUUCUCCGCAGUUUUAUUGGCUGCUCGCGUUUUUUAAGGCGGCGUGCAGAUGCUUAAGCAGGAUGUUUCCGCCGUAGAUUUACAAACCUAAUUAUAAACAAAGCUGCUUGAAUUGAAUCAUUUAAAGUCGUUUAAACAGAACUAUUAAUCUGCAGGUGCGCCGGGAACGGGGAGGAUUUUUAAUAAUACAGGGACUAUUUAUAAUGUAUGCAAAAAUAGGCUGAGAACAGCUGCUGUGAAUUAUUCCAAGAUUAUUUGUUUUCAGAUUCCUCUGCUCUCGUGUUUUUGUGGCGUGGCUGCUGUAAGAAUGCGCCUCCCCCUCCCCCCUCUCUCCCCCCUCUCCCCCCAGGCUGAGCUCCCAGCAUGCACUUCAGGUCCUGGUGAGCUGCUCUGCGCCGGGUGGUCUCACACUGCGCGGUCUUUAGCACACUGGGUUGGGGAACCCGUAGCGUUCCUGCAGCGUUCCUGUGGAGUUCUCCCAGUCUGGGAGUAGGAACGCGCUGGGGGAGGUACAACGCGUGCACGCUUUCCACUGGACGCCUUCGAAGUCGGUGCCUGAAUCAAAGUUAGUGUAAAUUUACAUUAAAGGCAAAAAUAGACCUUGUUAAAAACCUUUUUCCAUGUUGUAUUUAAUGUUCAAUUGAAACAUGCCGUUUCUGAAAUCUUUGAGGACUUUCCCAGGAAAUGUUAUUUUCCCAAGCCUUCAAUCACCCCAGUUCUGUCAUCACUCCUGUUUCAUAUCUUAUCUAUACCCCAGUCAGGUACCGCAACAAAAGAUGUGUUUUUUUUAUUCCCUCUCUAUUUGAAACUAUGCUGAAUUUUGUUUUUGCUGCUGAAUCCCUCUGACAGCUAUUGUGGGUUCCUGUCAGAAAGUGUUGUUUCUUUUCUUUUUUUUCCCCCCAUUUCCCAGUCUCAGUCACACUAACAAGGAGUGAAUAAACAGAAGGUAGAGUAGAGACGGAAGCGCGGG
rnacentral:lncRNA from 1 species